rnacentral:misc_RNA from 1 species
GUGAUGAAGCUUUUACAAAGAAAAAGAGUUUAGGUGGAGACCGGAGACGAUUGCCACCGAACUCAUCCUUGUUAUGCUCUUUUUUUCAGAUUCAGAAUUUUGGUUGUACUUUCAAUCAGCUCAAUUUCUCAGAUUUACGCCGAAAUUAGGGUUUCUGAUUAUAGCGCUAUUAAAUUAUUCUUUGCUUUGAAUUUACUCAAUCAAUUGAUUGUUUGUUCGGUGCAGUUUUUAGAGGAAUUGG